AGAUAUGUUACUGUUCAGUAUGACAGUCGCUGGUGGUGUCUGCUGAUCAGAAGAAACGGGAGGCUGAAAUUAACUUCCUGCCCCCGAAUGAACCAGCACGAUCAUUCUGUUUCCCACACCAUCCAGAUCAAUUUAUUGUAGACAUGGGGGAUGUUCUGACAUCAGUGGAGUCAACAACUGCAACAGGAAGGACAUACACCCUGAGACACAAGGAGAUGCCAAAGCAUCAAAAGCCUUGACAGAGGAAGGAAAAGAGCAACUUAAGCAUAGAUGCAACCAACCGGGACAUCUGACCAGGUCAUGCCCCGCUGCCAUGGAGUGUGACGUGGCCGCGUAUAAUUGGGCACCUGAGAUAGAAAAACAAAUAUAGAGACAAGGACCGCAAAAUGGGAGGGAGCAUCACUGAGACAAAGAUGGGGUCUGGUGGGAGAGCGCUCGGAUGGUAACAAAUGCCAGUCAAAGGGAGUUGGAACGCAAUGUGACCGAGAGGGCGAGGUUACUUGGCCAUUCAGGGCAGAUGCUACUCCAACCCCUCUCAAUAUACCGGACAUGUGGUACUCAAGCAUGGACAUAGUGUGGGGCCAACAUAAUGACCCAUCACUAGAGCACGUUCGGGAGCAGGUCCUUUCUAUUGAAGGUAAGGAUGUUGAUGGUGCUGGGGCUCUAGUAUUUCCACACUUCAGUAUCAAGGGGCAAUUACUAUAUAGGGUAAAUCUAGCCAUGGACACAGGACAGCCUGUAACACAAUUAUUGGUUCCCCCGUCUUGUCGGACCGAGGUCACGAGGCUGGUGCAUGACAUCCCUUUUGCGGGGAUAUCAUGCACCAGCUUCGGAUAUUGGCUCGAUUCUAUUGGGUAGGUCUUCAUACUGAUGUGUCAAAAUAUGUAGCCACAUGCCCAGACUGCCAGCGAGUAGCGCUGGGUCAAGUGCGUCCCGCCCCUUUUGUCCACUGCCGAUUAUUCCCACUCUCUUUGAACACAUUGCAAUGGACAUAGUGGGCCCUUUGCUACCUUCUGACUCUGGGUAUAUGCAUAUAUUAGUAGUGGUAGAUUAUGCAACGUGAUAUCCGGAGGCAGAUCCAUUGAGUUCCACUAGUGCCGCUGCAAUAGCCACAGAGUUAGUGCAGAUUAUGGCUAGAGUAGGGAUCCCCAAGGAGAUUUUGACUGAUCAUCGAACCAACUUUUUGUCUAACACGUUACAGCAGGUAUAUAAAAUAUAAAAAAUACAUCUGUUUAUCAUCCACAGACGGACGGUUUGGUGGAUCGAUUUAAUCAGACCUUGAAGCAGAUGCUGAGACGUUUUGUAACACAAGAGCAAAAACAUUGCUUCUUCCCUAACUCCUUUUUGCAGUGAGAGAGGUGCUGCUGAGCUCAACAGGGUUCUCCCCCUUCGAGCUCUUGUAUGGCCGACAGUCUCGCGGCAUCCUCGAUGUGUUGAGAGAGGGGUGGGAAGAGCACAAAGGCUUGUCCAAAAACGUAGUGAAGCAUGUGCUCCUACUAAGAGAUCGCCUAGAUUUGGUCGGUCGUUUGGCCCUGGAAAACCUCAAAUCAGCUCGGCACCGGCAACAGUAGCAUUAUAACAAAAAUGCACUAAUUCAAACCUUUCGACCAAGAGACAAGGUAAUGCUAUUGCUUCCCUCCUCAGAAUCGAAAUUAUGUGCUAAAUGGCAGGGGCCAUAUGAAGUGAUUCGGGCUAUAGGAAAGCUGAAUUAUGAAAUUAGACAGCCUGAUCACCAUAAUGAACGUGAAAUUUAUCAUGUCAAUUUAUUAAAGCCCUGGCAGGCAAGGGAGGUCUUAUGUAUAGCCCCAGGCAAUGUAGAGGAUGAUUUAGGCCCUUGUCCAGAGACUCCUAGCACUAAAAUAAUUUCAGUGGGGGAACAAUUGGUUCCAGAUCAGCAACGGGAAUUGCGUAAGCUUAUUGAGGAGUAACUUGGUUGAAUAUAACAUUGUCUCUCCCUCAGGCGUCACAGUAUGAGAGGGACCAUAUCGGAUUCCAGAAAGUCGACGAGGUGGCGUUUGCAAAGGUAUGGGACAUGCUUGAACUUGGGGUGAUAGAGCCUUCCAGGGGCAAGUGGUGCAGUCAAUUGUCACAGUGGCCAAGAUAGACGGCACCAAUCGCUUCUGUGUGGACUUCCAGGAGGUAAAAGCUAUUGCCAAGUUCGAUGCGUACCCUAUGCCUUGGGUCAACGAACUGCUAGAUAGACUGGGAAAGGCAAAGUUUAUCUUGACUCUGGACCUGACAAAGGGAUACAGGCAGAUCCCUUUAACCCGUAGUUCUAGAGAGAAAACCGCAUUUUCAACGCCAGAAGGGCUGUUUCACUUCACAACCAUGGCGUUUUGGCUACAUGGUGCGCCAGCUGCCUUUCAGAGACUGAUGGACAAGGUUUUACACCCACAUCAUAAAUAUGCAGCAGGGUAUAUUGAUGACGUGGUCAUUUACAGCUCCACCUGGCGAGAGAAUUUGGCUAGGGUUACAGUCGUCCUUCAGUCUCUAAGGGUAGCCCAGCUAACAGCUAACUUGAGAAAAUGUGUGUUUGCCAAGACAGAAACUCAAUAUUUGGGAUUUUCUAGGCUUUGGAAAAUCCAGGCUUUGGUCAACGAGGCAAUCCCCAAAACCAAGACCCAGAUGAGGUCACUACUGGGAUUAGCCAGUUAUUACCUCCACUUUAUCCCCAAGUAUGCCACAGUUGUUAACCCUUUAGUCGACCUCACUAAAAAGAGUGAUCCAAAUUUAAUUAAGUGGUCAGCUGAGUGUCGGUGCGUUUGAUUCUAUUAAGCGUAAACUGUGCCAGACCCCCACUCUUAUCACACCUGAUUUCACCAAGAGAUUCAUCCUCCACACCGAUGUGUCGGAUGUGGGCAAGGGUGCAGUCUUGUCCCAAAAGAUAGACAGAGUAGAACACCCAAUACUGUAUCUCAGUAAAAAGAUGCUACCUCGGGAUCGCAACUACUCCGUAGUCGAAAAGGAGUGUUUGGUCAUUAAAUGGGCUACUCACUCCUUUCGAUAUUACCUGCUGGGACAUUAAUUUGAUCUUAUCACAAACCACACCCCACUCAAGUGGUUAAGCACAAUGAAGGACAGCAAUGCCCAGAUAACUUAGUGGUAUCUGGCGUUGCAACCCUUCAUGUACCACAUGGUACACCAUGCGGAGAAAGACCAUAAAAAUGCAGAUUAUUUUUCCAGGGAGGGGGGAGUAAUGGGAAAGGUAGAUUCAGCCGAGUGUUCCUUCGGCUCCACUCUGAGCGGUGGGAUAUGUGACAGAAAUACAAUGAUUCUUGGUUGUAUAUCUCCCUCCCGACCUGUCAGGGUGCUAAGCAGUGAGAACAGAUUUCCUUGGAUGGGCUGCUCUGACAGUUCUUUCCCAGGGUUCAAGGGAAGUAGGCCAGCCUGGAAGGGGGCGAGACUUUGGUGCAAUAACGCAUUGACCCGGAAGGGAAACGACGUGGCAGCCGCAGCUUGGAGAGGCAGUUGCACUCGUUUACCAAGGGGUCAUGUGUGACAGCAUAAAAGGGGAUGGAGAAUCGCAAUAUUCCUUUGCAUUGGUUACGUUUAAAUAGAACCGAGAAGGACUGAGAGAGACCCUGUGAGAAAGAGUAUUGUGAGUGUUGUGCUUUGUUUGUUUGUAAUUGUCUUGUUUGUUAUAUUACUAGACGGCUAAACACGUUUCC